rnacentral:rRNA from 1 species
GUGGGGAAUAUUGGACAAUGGGCGAAAGCCUGAUCCAGCAACGCCGCGUGAGGGAUGACGGCCUUCGGGUUGUAAACCUCUUUCAGCAGGGACGAAGCGAAAGUGACGGUACCUGCAGAAGAAGGACCGGCCAACUACGCGCCAGCAGCCGCGGUAAUACGUAGGGUCCGAGCGUUGUCCGGUAUUAUUGGGCGUAAAGGGCUCGUAGGCGUUCUGUCGCGUCGGGAGUGAAAACUCAGGGCUCAACCCUGAGCGUGCUUCCGAUACGGGCAGACUAGAGGUAUGCAGGGGAGAACGGAAUUCCUGGUGUAGCGGUGGAAUGCGCAGAUAUCAGGAGGAACACCGGUGGCGAAGGCGGUUCUCUGGGCAUUACCUGACGCUGAGGAGCGAAAGCAUGGGGAGCGAACAGGAUUAGAUACCCUGGUAGUCC